rnacentral:lncRNA from 1 species
CCGGGAUUGGACCACGAGUCAGAAGAUAAUAACAAUCGAGAUUAAACUACGAUUUUAAAUUAAAGAGAUCGGGAUUGAAUCACGAAUCGAAAGAUAAAGCGACUGGGAUUAAAUCACAAGUUAGAAAAUAAUGUUAACUUCGAUUGAAUCACAAGUCCGAAAAUAAGAAGACCAGGAUUGAACCACGAGUCAGAGGAUAACAAUAAUCGAUGUUAAACUAUGAUUUUAGAUUAAAAAGAUCGGG